ensembl:lncRNA
CUUCCAAAACAAUGCAUGUAUCAAAACCAAAAUUUGUUUUUCUAAGGUCUGAUUUUUUAUUUUUUUUGUCAUGUUUUAGAUGCCCUGUCCAGCUUAAUAACGUGGUUGUCCAGCCAUCAAGAAGAGAAGGUAAAAUGGACAUAAUGUUCACACACCAGUCCAAAUGGUGUUGCUUGAGUGCAGUAGAUUACCCCUACAAUCCCACCAUAAUGGCAACAGUUCAAGACCAAACAAUAAGCCAAAUUCUGGAAAUGGACAUGGAAUACCACAAAGUUAAUAUCACCGUCAAAAUAAUCCAGAUGGAAAGUGAAGGUCAUGCCUUUCGCCAGGAUCUUUUCCUGGAAAAAGCCAUCUACACCAUAGCGGACACCACUGGAAUCAUGGAGCUUACAGUCUGGGGAGUACAACACAACCUCCAGCUGGACUCUUGGUUCUACAUCACCAUUGUGUCACUACGUGUCUUCAGAGGUACAAAAAUCCUGUCAACCACAAGACACCACAUUUUCAGCCACAACAUGCACUGACCCCACAUAUCCACUGAACACGUAACCGGCAACAUCAUUGGUGCCAAAGUUGGCAUCAUUUACCUUUGUCCACUAAAGCACAAACUAAAUCCAUGGCAGUAUCCUGCACCAGAGUCCUCUGACAAAUGCGACACAUUUUACAAAUCUGACACCAUUACACUACACACACAUGCUAAACUUAAAAUAAGAACAACAUCUGAUGACCUCAAAUCAGUCAACAUUGAAAACAACAUUCUCAGAUCCACAAUUCAAAUUUCAAAAACCGCCACAACAGACAGCAUAAUGGACUCCCUUUUAGACCUCCCCACAAUGAAAAUGACCAUACACAACCACUACAUCACCCACCUGACAUAUCUGGAACAAUCACAUCCAGACACCCCGCAACCAAGCACUCCUCUCAUACACUUCUCACCAUCUACACAAUCUGCUCCUCCAAAUGACCUAGCCGAACUAGACCUUUAUGGCUGAGUCUCCUAUGGACAGUCAGCCGAAAGCAAACAGGCCAACUUCCCCAGAUACCCCAAAUAAGUAAUGUAUUAUCUUUUUAGAUGGCAACAGCUGCUGCUUUUUUUUUUUUUUUUUUUGUGGAAAUGUUCUUAGUUUAAAUUUCAGCCCAGUGAGCAUUUAAGUAGCUUUUUUUCCCCCUCACUGUUUUAAGUACUUUCUGUAAAUAUUGAAGCUACAAGAUGUUAUGUAUGCAUUCAGCUUUUCCAGUCUUUGACUAUUGGGACGUGUU